rnacentral:tRNA from 1 species
UCCCUAGUGGCUCAACUGGUAAAGAAUCUGCUUGUAAGGUAGGAGACCAAGGUUCAAUCCCUGGGUAGGGAA